CGGGGUUUAGGGUUUCCGCCUUUUCUGAAAUUUCAUGCCAAAUAGGGCAUGAAUCUUUCAAAAUUUGUAGGCAUUUUGAUCUUAAAGCUGUGAAUCAAAACCUUUUGUUACUAAUUUGUGAUAAUCGUUGAGAAAAACAGAGUUUUUUGGAAAUUGAAGGCUUCGGUUCACAAAAACAGGUAAGAACUUUGGGUUUUUUUUUUUUUCCGCCAUUUGAUUUAUUUCACGGCAUAUUUUGAACAAAAUGAGUUCAAUAAUUAGGGUUUUUAAUCUUUAUUGUGUCUAGUAUGAUUUAAAAUUUUCAAUUUUACGUAAUCUAGUCAAUUACAGCAAGAAAUUUGAUAUGAACAGUGAGAUGUCUGCGGAACCAAAUUCCGCUUUUUUUUUUUUUUUUCCGCCUUUUGAUUUUGUUUUCAUGAUAUAUUAGAAAUAAUGUGUUACAAAUUUAGGUUUUUAAUUCCUUAUAUUGUUGUUUAUCAGAAAAUAUACUCAAUUGGAUGUAAUUUAUUCACUUAGAGGUGAAUUUUUGAGUUAAAAUCGCUUAUGUAAAACGACUUUGUGAAGAACUAAUUUUUUUUUUUUUUUUUGUAGCCCAUGAUAGAAUUUUUUGUAAUCCAUGAUCGAAUUUUUUGUAAUCCAUGAUCAAAAUGUUUGUUUUUCUUUCUUGUAAUCCAUGAUCGAAUUUUAUUUUUUAUUUUUUAUUUUUGUAACCCAUGAUAGAAUUUUAUGUAAUCCAUGAUCGAAUGUUUUGUAAUCCAUGAUCGAAAUGUUUGUUUUUUUUUGUAAUCCAUGAUCGAAUUUUUUGUUUUUUGUUUUUUAUGUAACUCAUGAUAGAGUUUUUUGUAAUCUAUGAUUGAACUUUUUGUUAUCCAUGAUGUAAAUGUUUUUUUCUUUUUUUGUAAUCCACGAUCGAAUUUUUUGUUUUUUUUUUUUUGUAAUCCAUGAUCGAAUUUUAUGUAAUCCAUGAUCGAAUUUUUUGUAAUCCAUGAUAGAAUUUUUUGUAAUCCAUGAUCGACUUUUUUGUAAUCCAUGAUCGAAAUGUUUGUUUUUUU
rnacentral:lncRNA from 1 species